AGAGUUUGAUCCUGGCUCAGGAUGAACGCUGGCGGCGUGCCUAACACAUGCAAGUCGAACGAAGCUUGACGGAUGAUUUCUUCGGAAUGAAACCAGAUAUGACUUAGUGGCGGACGGGUGAGUAACACGUGAGCAACCUGCCUUUCAGAGGGGGAUAACGGCUGGAAACGGUCGCUAAUACCGCAUGAUGUGUUCGGAUGGCAUCAUCUGAACAUCAAAGAUUUAUCGCUGAAAGAUGGGCUCGCGUCUGAUUAGAUAGUUGGUGGGGUAACGGCCUACCAAGUCUGCGAUCAGUAGCCGGACUGAGAGGUUGAACGGCCACAUUGGGACUGAGAUACGGCCCAGACUCCUACGGGAGGCAGCAGUGGGGAAUAUUGCACAAUGGGGGAAACCCUGAUGCAGCAACGCCGCGUGAAGGAUGACGGUUUUCGGAUUGUAAACUUCUUUUCUUAGUGACGAAGACAGUGACGGUAGCUAAGGAAUAAGCAUCGGCUAACUACGUGCCAGCAGCCGCGGUAAUACGUAGGAUGCAAGCGUUAUCCGGAUUUACUGGGUGUAAAGGGAGCGCAGGCGGGACUGCAAGUUGGAUGUGAAAUACCGUGGCUUAACCACGGAACUGCAUCCAAAACUGUAGUUCUUGAGUGAAGUAGAGGCAAGCGGAAUUCCGAGUGUAGCGGUGAAAUGCGUAGAUAUUCGGAGGAACACCAGUGGCGAAGGCGGCUUGCUGGGCUUUAACUGACGCUGAGGCUCGAAAGUGUGGGGAGCAAACAGGAUUAGAUACCCUGGUAGUCCACACCGUAAACGAUGAUUACUAGGU
rnacentral:rRNA from 1 species